rnacentral:lncRNA from 1 species
AAAAAAAAAAGGGGGUGGGUGCAGCUGAGAUGGGGGCGGUCCCGCAAAGGCAGCCUGCAGAGCCCCGGAGCGAGUCGAACCCCCGCGGCCCCCGCCCCCGCCCUCCCGCUCUCCGCCGGGGCUGCUGCAGAGGUGGUCCGUGGCAAGCCCAGGCCGGGCGCACGCCGCCGAACUCCCGAGGAGACACAAUGCCAGUCGGGUUCUCAAGUUUAUUGUUGGCGCGCCCAGGCCGGUGGGACGCGGGCUGCAGGCGGGCGCGCGGGGCGGCGGGGCCGGGUCGGGUCGGGCCGGGCCGGGCCGGGGCGCGGCCGCGGGGUCUCCUCUCCGGUAACCGCGGGCGGCCGCACACGUCAACGCUUACCUCCGAGGCCCGCAGGAGGCUUUAAAAAUGGCCUCCUGACGACACUUCCUGCUCGGAGCCGACCGGUAGGAACCCUCGCAGGAGAUGCAUCAUUUAAAACGCUGGGGGCGGGCGGAGGGGCCGGCCGGGGGCCUCCACUCGGGCCGCCGCCGCCGCCGCCGCCGCCGCCGCGGGAGGCCAGCCUGCGGGUCGCGGCGGCACAAAGGGCCCGCACCCCGCCCGCCCCCCGCCCCCCGCCCCGGGGCCCGCGCAGCCCCCCCCCCCCCCGUCCCGGGGCGCCUCUGCGUCACGACGCCCGCCGGCCAAGCCGCACGCGGGGUCGCGGCCCGCACCCCCCCCGCCCCCCCCCCCCCGGCCCGAGGCUGCCCGCCCCGUCCCGCCCCGGCGCGGCCUCGUCCGGCCCUCCCCCGCCCCCGCCCCGCGCGGCCCCCCCUCCGCGCGCGAACCCCCCCCGCCCCCGGCUCAACCACUCACCCGGCCGGCGGGGCCCGGCUCCCAGGGUAGGGGCGUCUACACCGCCGGCCGCCGGCCGCAGCCGCCUCCGCCGCCGCCGCCGCCGCCGCCGCGCCCGCUGUAGGUCCCUACUCGGGGGGGCGGAGUCGGGCCGGCGGCGCGCGUGCGCAGUGCGGGGCACAGGCUCGGCUGCGGCGCGCCCGGCGCCCGGGAUUCCCGAGGCUGCGCCCGGCCCCCGCGGGGUCUCCGCGCCGCCCGGGGAGCCGACCCGCCGCGGUCGGGGGUGCUGGGCCCCGCGCUCCGCCCAGCCCGUCCACAGCGUGCGCAGGCGGCGGCCGCAGGCUCGGAAGGAGAGCGCAGCCCCUUGCGUCGCCGCCGGGAGGAGGACCGCUCGGGAGCGCCCGCUGGGUGCAAGCCCCCAGCCGAGGGCGCGGCGGCUCCCUGCCCGCGAGGAGCUUGAAGUCCAGCCGCGACAGCGAGCGGGAGCUCGGCUCUCCAGCCUCCAGAUUCUUCCUCUUUCGAAAGCGGCAGUGAAUGACACGGCCUUGAGGCGCGUUCGAAUCCCGACUCUUGCAUCCUAG